rnacentral:tRNA from 2 species
CGGGGCGUAGCGCAGUUGGGAGCGCGCCUGUUUCGGGUACAGGAGGUCGAAGGUUCGAGCCCUUUCGCCCCGACCA